rnacentral:ncRNA from 1 species
AAAGCCCAAAUUUGAAAUCUCCUAGCUUUUAUCGCUAGGCGAGUGUAAUUUGUAGAAGGUCUCAUCUGAACUGUGUUUGCUAAAGUCCAUUGGAAAAUGGCGGGCCUUUAUGGUCCUCAAGUCGUAGAGGGUGACAACCCCGUUCUUGGCAUUCUACUAGUUCUUUUGUAUGAUUCCUUCAAAGAGUCGGAUUGUUUGGGAAUGCAAUCCAAAACGGGUGGUAAAUUCCAUCCAAGGCUAAAUAUUAGCAAGAGACCGAUAGCGAACAAGUACCGUGAGG